rnacentral:rRNA from 1 species
ACUCAAAUGAAUAGACGGGGACCCGCACAAGCAGCGGAGCGUGUGGUUUAAUUCGAGGCUACGCGAAGAACCUUACCAGGGUUUGACAUGCAAGUAGUAGUGAAGCGAAAGCGGAACGACCCUUCGGGGAGCUUGCACAGGUGAUGCAUGGCUGUCGUCAGCUCGUGCCGUGAGGUGUUUGGUUAAGUCCACUAACGAGCGCAACCCUUAGCGUCAGUUACAAGUGUCUGGCGCGACUGCCGGUAUUAAGCCGGAGGAAGGUGGGGAUGAUGUCAAGUCAGCAUGUCCUUUAUACCCUGGGCUACACACACGCUACAAUGGCCAGUACAGUGGGUUGCCAAGCCGCGAGGCGGAGCCAAUCCUAAAAAGCUGGUCUCAGUUCGGAUUGUAGGCUGCAACCCGCCUACAUGAAGUCGGAGUUGCUAGUAAACGCAGGACAGCUAUACUGCGUUGAAUACGUUCCCGGGUCUUGCACACACCGCCCGU